rnacentral:rRNA from 1 species
CAGUCGACGGUGAAGAGGAGCUUGCUCCUUGGAUCAGUGGCGAACGGGUGAGUAACACGUGAGCAAUCUGCCCUUGACUCUGGGAUAACUGCGGGAAACUGUAGCUAAUACCGGAUAUUACCUUGGAAGGCAUCUUCUGGGGUGGAAAGAAUUUUGGUCAAGGAUGAGCUCGCGGCCUAUCAGCUAGUUGGUGAGGUAAUGGCUCACCAAGGCGACGACGGGUAGCCGGCCUGAGAGGGUGACCGGCCACACUGGGACUGAGACACGGCCCAGACUCCUACGGGAGGCAGCAGUGGGGAAUAUUGCACAAUGGGCGCAAGCCUGAUGCAGCAACGCCGCGUGAGGGACGACGGCCUUCGGGUUGUAAACCUCUUUUAGUAGGGAAGAAGCGACUGGGUUUUCCUGGAAGUGACGGUACCUGCAGAAAAAGCACCGGCUAACUACGUGCCAGCAGCCGCGGUAAUACGUAGGGUGCAAGCGUUGUCCGGAAUUAUUGGGCGUAAAGAGCUCGUAGGCGGUUUGUCGCGUCUGCUGUGAAAACCCGAGGCUCAACCUCGGGCCUGCAGUGGGUACGGGCAGACUAGAGUGCGGUAGGGGAGAUUGGAAUUCCUGGUGUAGCGGUGGAAUGCGCAGAUAUCAGGAGGAACACCAAUGGCGAAGGCAGAUCUCUGGGCCGUAACUGACGCUGAGGAGCGAAAGCAUGGGGAGC